UGGCAUAUCAAUAAGCGGAGGAAAAGAAACCAACAGGGAUUGCCCCAGUAACGGCGAGUGAAGCGGCAACAGCUCAAAUUUGAAAUCUGGCCCCUAGGGUCCGAGUUGUAAUUUGUAGAGGAUGCUUUUGGUGAGGUGCCGCCCGAGUUCCCUGGAACGGGACGCCGCAGAGGGUGAGAGCCCCGUCUGGCUGGCCACCGAGCCUCUGUAAAGCUCCUUCGACGAGUCGAGUAGUUUGGGAAUGCUGCUCAAAAUGGGAGGUAUAUGUCUUCUAAAGCUAAAUAUUGGCCAGAGACCGAUAGCGCACAAGUAGAGUGAUCGAAAGAUGAAAAGCACCUUGAAAAGAGGGUUAAACAGUACGUGAAAUUGUUGAAAGGGAAGCGCUUGUGACCAGACUUGGGCGCGGCGGAUCAUCCGGGGUUCUCCCCGGUGCACUUCGCCGUGUUCAGGCCAGCAUCAGUUCGGCGCGGGGGAAAAAGGCUUCGGGAACGUGGCUCCUCCGGGAGUGUUAUAGCCCGUUGCAUAAUACCCUGCGCGGACUGAGGACCGCGCUCUGCAAGGAUGCGGCGAAGUCAUCACG
rnacentral:rRNA from 1 species